GAUGAACGCUGGCGGCGUGUCUAAUACAUGCAAGUCGAGCGAACUGAUUAGAAGCUUGCUUCUAUGACGUUAGCGGCGGACGGGUGAGUAACACGUGGGCAACCUGCCUGUAAGACUGGGAUAACUUCGGGAAACCGAAGCUAAUACCGGAUAGGAUCUUCUCCUUCAUGGGAGAUGAUUGAAAGAUGGUUUCGGCUAUCACUUACAGAUGGGCCCGCGGUGCAUUAGCUAGUUGGUGAGGUAACGGCUCACCAAGGCAACGAUGCAUAGCCGACCUGAGAGGGUGAUCGGCCACACUGGGACUGAGACACGGCCCAGACUCCUACGGGAGGCAGCAGCAGGGAAUCUUCCGCAAUGGACGAAAGUCUGACGGAGCAACGCCGCGUGAGUGAUGAAGGCUUUCGGGUCGUAAAACUCUGUUGUUAGGGAAGAACAAGUACAAGAGUAACUGCUUGUACCUUGACGGUACCUAACCAGAAAGCCACGGCUAACUACGUGCCAGCAGCCGCUGUAAAAC
rnacentral:rRNA from 1 species